rnacentral:lncRNA from 10 species
AAAGAAAGAAGGCACUCCGUGCUCUGCAGAAGAUGCCUGCCAGGAGUCCUAUUCUCCACCCAGCCAGGCCUCAUGGCCAUCUACACACUGACCCAACUCUUCACUGCUGGACUUCUACCCAGGUGUUUCAUAGAAUGCCCCCUUCUUUCAGAAAGGGAACUGUCCUGGGCCAGGUCAAAUUAAGCCAGUCAGGUCCUUCCUGCUCAGGGGCCCCCAAUUUAUCUGGGAGCCCCACUUUACAGGUUCAGCCUACUCUAGACAUAGUCCCCCCCUGUAGGCCUAGCCUCAGAGGCUUCCUGAGGACACGGCCAAUAAGGCCAGUGGCCCUGACCUGGCUUUCUGCCUGCCAAGUAAAGAGCUUUUCCAGGCAGUAACUCUCCCUCCGAGCAGCCUGCUCCUAAGCCUGGCCAGCUCUGUAGACCGCAGAGGCCAGGGCAAGCACACACUGGCCAGACACCCUGCCCAGGCUCCCAAGUCCUCCCCUUGCCCUCUAGAGACACAGCAUGGGUACCAGAGAGGCAGGAGAGCCAGUCUUGCAGGCAUGCUGCCAGGUCCGCAUCCAUGAGGACAGAGGAGGCAGACCACACCUGGCAUGCCAGAGCCCUCCCUCCCUGCCAGCCACUCACAGCCCACACCCUCUUCCUGACAGGGCUGGCAAGAGGAGAUCCUCACCUUUCUGUCAUUAGCAUCUCUGGACCUGCCAGAGAACCCACCUGGGCAGUAGCUACUCACCCCCACCCCAACCCAAAGAGAUCACAAGCCAAGAGCAAGGCAGGCUGCCCUUGCCCAUCCCCAGUCUCUCUCCAGCCACGGGAAGGAAAGAUUAAGAUUUAACCGUCAGGGAACAGUGGCUCAUGCCAGCACUUUGGGAGGCCAAGGUAGUAAGAUCACUUGAACCCAGGAGUUCAAGGCCAGCCUGGGCAGCAGGGUAAGACCCUGUCUCUACAGAAUAAUUUUAAAAUUAGCUGGUGGCAUGCGCCUGUGGUCCCACCUCCUCGGGAGGCUGAGGUGGGAGGAUCCCUUGAGCCCGGGAGGUAGAGGCUGCAGCGAGCUGAGAUCACACCCUGCACUCCAGCCUGGCAGACAGAGGGCGAUCCUGUCUCAAAAAAAAAGAUUUAACAGACACCACCUACUGUCCCCAGCAUCUUACAGAACAAAAGAUCGGCGGGGCACAGUGGCUCAUACCUGUAAUCCCAGCACUUUGGGAGGCCUAAGCAGGCUGGUCGCUUGAGCCCAAGAGUUCGAGACCAGCCUGGGCAAUACAGCGAGACCCCAUCUCAAUUUAUAUUAUUUAAAAAAUAAUUAAUGUAAGAGAAAUUAAAACAGAUUUUUAAAAAGGAAAAAA